UUUUAGAUGAGAACACAAGCUCCUAAGCCGGUAAGGGCGGUGCUACACACAGGCAUUUUGUAAAGUUGCAACAGCUAACUUGAUCUGAGUGAUAAAUCCGACCUUGGGGAGAAGACUGAGAAAAUGGGAGUGAACUUAGAUCUCUGUCUACUGUGUGGGUUAUGGAGCUCAAGCUCGGCAGCAUGUGACUUUAACUGCCAGCCCCUGAGGAGGAAGAAGCUUCUGCCCGAUUCUCUUU
rnacentral:lncRNA from 1 species